rnacentral:lncRNA from 1 species
AAUCCGGAUGUCAUUGGUUGGAUCCACCAUCAUCGAAUCACUCUCCUGGGGAAACAAAUUAUUAAGUGCUUAGAGAUACAGCUUUUUGCAUAAGAAUGACUAGUUAUUUCUGUGUGUCAAGGGGAAUCCUAGCAGAAUAAAAACGGAUGGUUUACAAUGUAAAUCCUGAAAGUUAAGUGGUGUCCUAUGUAAGACCAGAUGACACAAACCUGAUAAUGCAUCUCUUGAAGCGUUUGGGGUGAGCCCCGAGGCCUGGGUGCAGGAGUGGUUUACUGAGUGGCAAUCAUCAGCAAUGCCAUCUGGGGCAUUGGAGAAGACCCAUGCUGAGAGGACCUGCGAGAGAGCCAGUGGGUCUCAUCCAAGGCUGGUCUCAAACUCCUGGCCUCAAGUCAUCCUCCUACCUCAGCCUCCCAAGUAGCUGGGACUACAGGCUUGCACUAUUGCACCUGACAGAAUUCCAUCUUUGGAGAAGUUAUAGACACCUAUAAACAUGAUAAUUGGCCUACAAUUCCAAGCUGUCAAGAUAACUAGAGAUUAAAUGUUCAUCCUUCCAGGCCCCCAGCCAAUGAACCUAAGAUGGGUAGAAGAUAACUGUUUUUCCUCUCCUACAAUACCCUCUCUAAUGGAGGCCGACCCAGAAUUCAGGGAGAGGGCUGUGGAGUCACAGCCACUGAACUCACCCUGGCUCCAUCCAGAAUGCUCUGGUCUGGGCUGUUUGGACAAGCAAUACAAUCUUUUGUCACAGUCUCAGAAAAAAGGACUGAAACAAGGAAGUACCUCCUGCUCAGCCCAUCAUGACAGAGUGUGAUUUUCUUCUUCGUGCCUGAGUCCCACCAUUCUCUACAGCUGUUGAAUGAGUUAAUGAAAAGUGCCAAGGGAAAGCAGACUGAGGAUGGAAAGUAGAACUGAAGAUCAAGGACUCUGGAGUCCUGCAGACAUGGGUUCAACUUAUGAGCAUGUGACCUUGGUUUCUUGACCUUGGAAGUUCAUUGACUUUUGCAAGCCUUUGUUUUCUCUUCUAAAAGAUCCACAGCAUUUUAUAAAACUUUCACCAUCCAUAAAAAAGCAAUAAUAAUAGUACCUUCCUUGAGGGGUUGUUGUUAAGGAUUGAGUGAGAAUUUUUUAAGUGUGAGCACAGUGUCUGAAACAUAACAAGUUCUCAACAAAAAGUUGGUUAUUACUACACUGCAUUUAAAGUUAAUGCUUUUAUUUACGAAUUAUUUGUAGUUGUUAACAGCAUAAUGAUCCAAAUAUAGUCAUUUCAUUGAUUUUUUUUUGGAUUAGUUUCUAUAGAGUUAGCUUCUUUAAGAAUAAUAUUUGUCUUAAUUUUAUAGUAUUUUAUACUUUUCAUAGAUAGCUUAUUUCAAUGACACAUGGCUUCGAUAGAAAGUCUAUAUAUUUCCUUGAAUCCUUUUAAAUUAUAUUUUUCUGAAAUGCUAACAACAAUGGUGGUUAGUAAGGCUGAAAAGGAGUUCCAUUUUGGUUAGUCCUGUAGUAAGGAAUUGGAUAUGAAAAGUUGGUCACAGGAAUUAGGCUGGAUACUGAAAGCAAAAUUCUCUUUACAAAGUAAAGGCACUAGAUUAAUCUUUGCCAGAUGUCAAAUAAUUAUUACAUAUGCUUUAAUACGGAAAGAUCUCGAGGGUAUGUUUGGUAAAAACUGCAGAGUGCAGAACAAUGUGGAAAAUACGUCUGGUACAUGUUUGAAAAUAAAUAUAAACAGAAAGUUAGAUUGAUAGGAAUCCAGAUAUUUAUAGAUAUAUGUGUAUGUUUAUAUAAGCCUAGAACAUUUCUGGAAGGAUUUACAAGAAACUGUUAGUAAUGAUUGUCCUGGAGAGAAUAACUGAAUAUUGAUGUUAGAAGAGAAACAUUUUAUUACAUAUUUUUUAGUAUUUGUUAAAUAUUUUAUUUGUAUUUAUUUUUCUGUUAAAAUAAAAAGCUAGUAUAAAAAUUACCACUAUCAUCAUCGAUCAUUUAUUGAAUUCUUACUCAUUGUAAGGGUAGACUUUAUACUUAUAGAAACUAAUGUUCACAAGCAUCUUGCAAGAUAAGUAGAAGUUAUGUAGUUCAUACAAUAGCUUGUAGAGAGCAAGUAAAGGACAGUUGUUUCUCCUGCUUUUAAGUAGAGUUUUCAGAAAUUUAUAAUUAACGGUCACCAGUAUAGGUAUUUAGCUCUUUACUAACAUAGAUAAUAAAAAGAAUUUCUUCAAUUACGAUCUCAAGUCAUUGGGAUUAUAAAUUCUGUCAAUAUCUAUCACAACUAGAGUUUCAUUUAAGGUAGAGCCUUAAAAUAAUGUCUUUCAAACCUGUUUUUUAUUUUACCUAUUAGUAUAAUUUUGUCAUGUAACUUUUUUCUCACUUGGAAAUUAUAACCAAAAUUUACGCAAAAUCCAACUGGUUUUCUGACUAACCAUGUUCUGCCAUUCGGUAUGAAUGUGCUAUUGCUAUUAUAACUUUUAAAAGCAUUCUAAUCAUAGUUACAAAAAGUAUUGUCUAGCUUGUACUGUGUCAAUUACCUUCUACUUUUAAAUGAUUUAAGUAAACACUAUUAUUUAUAUUUUUUGCAUACAAAAUCUGUGAAGGGUCUGAGUAUAAUCACAUAAUGUUUGUUCUGUUGAUGAUUUCUAGUUGUGAUUUGAGGAACUACCAUAAAAAUGUCAAGGGCCACAAGGAGGUGGCAGCACAGCUACAGCACAUUGCAGGUUUUCACUUCUUAUAUUUGAGGGGGGAAAAGUAAGGAGAGUAGCUGAGUCAAAUUCAUUAGCAAGCAAUAAAAAGAUAAAUUAAAGAAGGCCCAGACUGCUACACAUGGAGAGCCAGGCUAGGCCAUACAAUUUCAGCAACACUAGAAUGGGCCUGGCUGCAGAAAUGUGCACAUUGUAGAUUCUGUGGUUGAAUCUGAAUUCUACUCCCAAUUUGGCUAUGUGGAUACCUCUUCAUGAUUUAAUCAAGAUGAAGGGUCCUAGAUAACUGAGCAUCAAGUCUGUAAAAGAGUAGCUUAUUACUAUACACUUUCAAAAUGAUUAUUCAGAGCUUAGGCCUAAUUUUUAAUAUUUUAAUUUGCCAUUCCUUUGUGUCUAAGAAAAAAAAUGCUUUAAGUCGAAGUUCAGUCUUUAGUUUCAUUUUAUGUCUUCAAAAGUGAUACAAUAUUCCAAACAGCUAUUACAUUUAUCUAAUGCAGCUAUAACAUUCCUACUGUGUGGUCAUUUAGAUGGCUUUCUGUUUCUUUUUUUUUUUGAGAUGGAGUUUCACUCCUGUUGC